CAGCAGUGGAGACGCCUCCGCGCACAACCGCUGGGUUCCUGUCUCGGUCACAGGCGGGGAGGCGAUGAAGCCGGCGUCUCAGUCCCGGGAGAAAGGAGCGCUCAUGGGUCGCCAGGCAGAGAAGGGCUCGCUCCCGGUGCAGGGGCUGGCCUCGGCCUCGCGGUGCCCGGUGGCGGGGCCCGCUGCACGUCUCCCGGAGGACGGGGAGCCCGCGGCCGGAGGAGCCACAGAAGGAGGCGGGCGGUGCGCGCUCGGGGGUGGGAGCUCUAGCGCCGUGAGCGCCGGCGGCCGCCUGGCGUCUGCACCCGGGUUCCGCCGCGCCACUUCCUCGCCGGCUGCCGAGCGCUCUGCGCCCAGCCCCUCGCGCCGGGCUAUAAGCUGUGCGGCCGGGAGGGGAGGAGGCGCUUGCAAAGAGCGGCCACGGGGAGGACAGAGAGCGGGAGGGGGCCGGGAGAGGAGCGGGAAGUGCGAGUGUGCAGGGACCGGGAGAGGAAGCGGGGAGGGGCUGGAACGCAGAGACAAAGCGGACGCCAGUCUCAGCCACUCCAGCUGCAGCCCUCCAGGACCGCGGAUAAAAUAAAUUUUCCCGGGUCGAGGUGUCUCGUCUCCCUGCAACCGAGUUACGGAUGGCCCCGGAGUUGAGGGACCCAGCGCAGGGGAGGACAGGGCGGUGCAGCCGGCGCGGCCCGAAACUGGCGCGGAGUCCUGGCUCCAGCGAGCUUCACAAAGCCAGAGAGGCCCGAUAAGUUCAAGUCACCAAAUCUACCAGGAACCAUCCUCGAUGACCCUAAAUAGGAAUGGCAUGUGGACGGUGCAUGUAGCUCAGUUGGUUGGCGGGGAGUCUUGCCACUGGAAGCCCACAGUGGGGACAGGGAUCGAUCGAACUCGGGCCCUUGCGCUUUUGAGGCAGGCGGCAGAAUCUCUGAGCUAAAUCCCCAGCCCUCUAAGGUGAUUCUUAUCACCCCACCUGCUGGAAGAUAAGGUAAGUCCUGAACAGAAGGAAGCCUUUUGCAGGGCUGUGGUCAAACUGGACAACAAUAGACAUAGAUGUCUGAGUCACAGACAGCUCGGGAAAUGCUACCUCUCUGUAUUGUACAACCCCCCCGGGAGCCUGUCUCUGCCUCUGCCUUGUGACACCACACCAAGGUUUCAGUCUUUAAUGCUAUUAAGAAGCUGCACCCAAGGCUUUGGCCUUGUUAUCUCCUCUACGUUACUUUGUUAGGCUGCAAAAUAAACAGCAUGGGGUUAAAUGUAUUAGCUGUCUUCAAACCUAAUUUAUCUUCAUUUCUUCCUCAUUUACACUUGGGCUGAAUUAAUGAGAAUGAUUUAAUUAACAUGGUGCGAUGCUGGUAGUGGAGACAAGAAGGCUCAAAGGAUUAAACCAAACCAUGGGCCAAGCAGCUGCCAUCCUGCCUCCUGCUGUCUCCCAAAGCCCCACCCAAAUUUCAGACAGGUUCCCUGCUGUCGCUGUAUUCCAACAGCACCCUCUUUAUUCUUUGAUCCACUUCCUGGAUCUGUGUGAGGAAAAGGGCACAGCUUUCCUUCCUUGGUUACUCCCUAGGUAGCUUUGAGGCCCUGCCCUGUAGAAUCCAUGUGGCAGAGGGGGCAAGUGGCACCAAAGAUUUGUGCUCCUCUUUCCAGGCCAUCAAGUCCAUGGUGAGACGUGAAUCUCCUGGCCCCUUAUAAAUUGGGAUUGACACCUAUGGAAGGGAAAGAGGAAAUAGGAUAGGCAGAGGGAGAGGUUAAGCUGGGUUGCUUGCAGUCUCUGCUGUGGCUUCAGCCAGCCCCUGGGGGCCUCUGGAGCUGAACUGACCCAGAAGAGUUGUCCUAGUGAAGAUAAGAAGGCCACAUUAUCCAGUGACUGAAUGCAGACUGCCCAAGGAAGGAACUGUGGCCUGGAGCACAGUGGCACAUUUCUGUAGAGGCAGUUGUGAAGGACACUGGCAAUCAAAGGCCUUCUGCCACCAGCGCCUCCAGCAGCUGGAAGAACCAAACCUUUGUUCCCAAGGAAGAACUGAGGGGCUCAGCACUGUGCCCACCUCCACGACUGGCACAGAUCUAGGGGCCUAGGAAGUGAAACCUCGGCUCCUGUCAGUGUUUCUCUUAUUUUCAAAAAGAGAGGGAAAGGAUCUGGCUGUUAAAGAGGCAAGGAUAAGGAAAAAGAUCACCAGUGCAAGAAGUGAUCAGCCUUCUGUCAGUAAUCAUUUUUCUUGCUGGAGAAGAGCAAGGGGUCUAAAUUGACAAUUAAGUUUUCUAAGAUUUGGUGUGCCGUCUUCUGCAUUUACACCCUUUUUAUUUAUUUAUUUUUAGUACUGGGGAUCAAACUCAGGACCUUGCACUUUCGAGGCAGGCGCAGGUACCACUAAGCUAAAUCCCCAGCCCUAUUUACACCCUUUUAAAAUCAUCGUGUUUGCGUUAAGUAUCUGUUAUGAUAAACCUAGGAAAUAUUCCUAGGAUUGGAUCCAAAUUCAUUUGGUCAUAUUUUAAAAUUUCAGUUGCUUCUUACAUCUAUUAUAUGUACCAAACUCAUGUGUAUUCUGUAAAUUAAAUUGAUUAUAGUAUGAUUCUCAGUUUCAAAUUCUAGGUGUUCACUGCUGCUAUGAAUACAGCUGACUUUUGUAUAAUGAUUGUUUAAUGAAAUUUUUGUGUGGAAGUCUGUUUUUGUCUGUUAAGUGCUAAGCACCACUGUUCAUGUUGACCUCCUCUGUGAAGGGUUGUUAUAUAGCUUGGAAAUUCAUUCUUCGUCUGAGAUACCUCACCUUACCCAGCCUCGGAUGACUUUUCAAGGGGUAGACAGUUUAUUGGCUGCUGAUGGGACUACAGAGGGACCCAUUUGAAUCCCUUUUCCCUGGAUUACUGUGUAAAGCUUGGGCAUUAGUAAAUCAAGAACCUAAACUGCUUAUGUUUUUUCUACUCCAGGGCCCUUCAAGACAAUAACCUUCACAUUUCACUGUGAGUUAUAAGUUUUAGGGGCAGGAUUUUAAAGCAGCAUUUAUUAUUUUCUCUGAUUACAAAAGCAAUGCACGGUAGAAAUUUGAAAAAUACAGAAAAGCAAAGCCAUAGACCCACGACUUGGAGAUGAUGACAUUGAACAUUUACAUUCCCAUCUUUGUAUGUCCACAUACUGUUUUAUUUUUUUCGGUUAAGUGGUUAAGGGCAGUAACUGUAGAAUCAAGCUUAAAUUCCUGCUUCUGUAUUUACUAGCUGGGUGUUUGGGGACAAGUACUCUACUGUCAAUUCUUGGUGCAUUAGUUUCCUGAGCUGCAACAUGGGAUGAUAACAGUACCUAGCUAGAGAGUUGUUCUGCAGAUUAAAUAAACUAGCAUAUGUAAAGCCUGAACCACAGUGCCUGGCUGGGGGUAAGUGCUCUAUUCCACUUAUUUUUACCAUGAUUCCUUAGCAUGUUGUUUAAGGAGAAUGGUUUUCCUAUCAUUCAGUAGGUAGUUUCCAAAUAACCCUGCUAAUAGUAACUUAAUCCUGUUCUUGGCUGGGGAUGUAGCAUAGCAGUGGAGCAUGUCCUGGGUUCCUCCCCCAGCUUACGUGUCCCCUGGAGUAUUUAUUUAAGGCUCUGCUCUUCUUGCACACCCAGGAUGCUCAUAGCUUGUGCAAUACACUCAAAUCCAUGGGUCUGCCUUUAGCUUUUAUUGAUGUGGUCUUCUCAUUUUUUUUGUACCAGAGGCUGAAGUUAAUGAUGGAGAAGCAAUUCCUUGCUUUCCAUUACCUUACAAAACAAAGCUGCCGGAAAGGGAAAGGGUUUAAGAAAUCAUACAUUUAAAAAGGAAGCAACUAGCUAUCCUUAGAGGAAGGCAGCUCUGGCAAAAUGAAGCCUGUAUAGAAUACAGGCACCACUCUUUUCUGCCCUGAAGAUCCUGUAGGGCAGUGAUGGCAAACCUUUUAGAGCUUUUAGUGAUAGCACAGCAUACUUGCCAUGGGUUUACCACCACUGAUGCAGGGUAUUCAUGGUAAAAGCUCACUCAUACUUAUCAAAAUCACAUAGGCUUGGGCCAGGGGUUUAGCUCAGUGGUUCCAUCGCCUGCCUCGCAAGGACCAGAGUUCGUUCCCCGGUACCAAAAACAAGAAUCACACAGGCUUCUCUGGGGUGUGGCCUUGCACAACCUAGGGAAAUCUUGAACCAUUUUUCUCCUAUUUUCCAUAAUCUUUUAAGCACCCCUGGCUCCUGGAUCUAAACUCCUCAUUUGUUCUUAAGUAAUGGCAUUCGAGAAUUGACCGUUGUUCCAAGCAAUGAAAAUGAAGGUUUUAUUUGGCCUGUGGGCUCUGCUUCCAAGGCAAGAUGCCAAGUCUCCGAGCAGGUCUGGGCAUGAGGAAGGGACCAGAAGAAGGGACCUUUGUGGUCCAAGAGCUUGCACCUUUGAAUGAAUAUUAAAAGGAUUUUAUGGUAGUCUGCGAACACAGACUUUACUCAAUGCACAUAGCUCAGCCUCAGACAUUUCUGAAAUCAUGCGCCUGAGAGUGAGCAUUAAUAGGAUGAAGAGUGAGUGCACACAGAGAGGAAGCUGCUGGUGAAUGUGUUUCUUAAGAUUCCCUUAAGCGUUUCUCCUCAGGAUGUGGAAAAUAAAAACAAAAGCAGAGGUAUAAACUCACAUAUAAAGCAUUCUUAUUUCCCUUAGCUCGUUAGUAAUUUUAGAGUUUUUCUAUAACCCCUCAAGUGAAAGAUUUCCUAUUUCCUUAUCUGAUAAUAGAGGGAAAUAUUGAAAUAUCACGAGGAAAUGGUCACUUUUUAAAAAAUUAUGUGUAUUCAAAUAGUUAUGUCAGUUUUCAUAUCCACAGUUAUGAAACAUUCAUUCAUCCAAUCACUCAUCCAACAAACAUUGAUAUAUAGGCCUCGAAUCAAUACUUGGUUCCAGGAAUAACCCUCUGUUCCACUAGCUUUUCUCCAGCCUUCCAGUGUGAUUUUAUAGCGCAGAGGUUUGGCUCCCCAUCACUGUGCUUGUGUUUGCAUUUAGAAUGUGUUUCCUUCUAACUCUCACCCCAUGGAAAGAAAUCAUAUAGAGGGAAAUUUGAGAGGAGUGAAAGGGAAAAGAACUCAAACAUAGAAGGAGCUCGAGUCCUGUCUCUCUCUCAUUAGGCGGAUGGUGUCCAAGAGAGCCAGGAAAAUACAGACCGCCUGGGCUGUGAACUGGUUCUCAAUUGCCAUUUUUCAUGCAAGGAUUAUAAAGAAGCCCAUUAUUGCCUUGUUAAAAACUGCCCUGUCACAAAUGGUAAAGUGGCUCCCAGUGGCCUUGGGCCAAGAAAGGAGAGCCAGGGGUGCUCUCUCCUGUUCUUAUCAAAGGGUUCUGUUUUCACCAGGAUCUGCAGUUUGCCCAGGGUUCCCCCAAACUCUUAGCAACCCCUCCUACACCUCUUCGGGUAUACUUGUGAUUCUGAAAAUGAGCAGCAACACCAAGAUUCCUUCUGAUUGCUCAGACAGUGGUUUUUCUAGACAGGACCUUGAUCAGAUUCAUCUAAAUCCAGUUUCUCUGCUGAGUUUGUUUCUUUUUAAAAAUUCCUUAUGUAAUUUUCUAUGGCUUAAUAACAUAUAAACAAUCUGUCAUGUCACUUUGUUUUGCAUAUGUCCUAUAACAGGCAAAAUGUUGCUUUUUGCAUUAUUAUUUUUCUCCCCUGGUAACCUAAGAAUGAAACUGCUACCCCAACAAAGCCAUUAAUGAACACAAUUGCAUGACUCCGGAAGCCACAGAGCAGAAUUUUGGUAAAUCAGCAGUGCCCUCUUCUGGCCACAGGAGAACCAAUUACAGAA
rnacentral:lncRNA from 1 species